AGCUCCCAGAGCAGGAGUUUCCUGUUGUAGUUUCUCAUAACUGCACUCACUUCAGAGAGAUUCACACUAACAUUAGCUUUAGCGCACUGAGAGCUUAAACACACUACUGACUCCGUCUGAUCAUAUUUACAAUGAAGAGAAACCUCCUCAUCAUCCUCAUCAUCACAUCAGGUGUGUUUGGUGCUGAUCAAAUUGGAUCAUCAGAAGAUCAGGAGACUGAUGUUCUUAGAAAAGAGGGAGAACCUGUUACAGAAGGUGGAGCUGUGUGCUUAAUACAUGAAGAAACCUUCACAGAAGACAGACCUCAUUUCUGUUUUAACUGACAACACUGCUGCAGUUGGAAUACAGCCACUCUUCUUUGAAAAGCAUGUAUUGGAGGGAGCAGAUGUCACUCUCUCAUGUAACUACAGCGCAGCGACAGGAGACACCUUCCAGUGGUAUCGCCAGUAUCCUGGAUCCAGAUCAGAAUUCCUCCUUUAUCUGACAGAGUUUAAUAUCGCAUCUGAUUCUGCUCUUCGUCUGACAGCAGAGGUUAAGAAACAGUUUGAGCGUGUGGAUCUGAACAUCUCUCAUACUGUAGCGUCAGACUCUGCACUGUACUACUGUGCUCUGCAGCCCACAGUUACAGGAAACUCAGCUACACUGUACAAAAACACACUUCACUCACACAUUUUCUAUAAUAAAAGUCUCCUUUAGUAAGUGUAAACGGAACAUUCUGGAGGACUGUCUCUGGCACACUUUCUUACAACUGAACAAAAGGCCUCAUUGCCAAGGCUUCUGCAGUGGAGACAGUGACACUUUGCCUAAGAGGAUUUUAUGAGAGGAAGAUUUAUUGAGUUAUUCCGAUGUCAAAUGUGACUGUGACUAUUGAAAAGAGAACUACACUGCGUGCGUGCGUGUGUGUGUGUGUGUGGUGUCUGGAUUCUUUUUGACAAGUUGUGUAUACAGGGUUGGGAUGUAUAAUGAAACACAAGUAUUGAUAGUAUUGAUAAUAUAUACUCAGAAUUCAAAAGUUACGUAUUUGUUUUCCAGAAAAUACAUUUAGAAUACCCACCCACUAAAUUAAAAGAAACACUAUAAACACUUGUUUAUGAACACGAAUCAUUGCAUGGCAUGUAGAAACAUGCUCAGUCAUGAUGAAGAACUGUAAAGAGUAACAAAGAGCUUCUUAACAAACAAUGAGCUUCCUGCAAAUUGAUAGUUCUGGUCACAUUUGAGGCCAUUGUAAAAUAAAUGAUAUACACACACUGA